rnacentral:rRNA from 1 species
UCUUACAGCCAUAUCACGCUGAAUGCACCAGUUCUCGUCCGACCACUGAAGUUAGGCAACAUCGAAUCUAGUUAAUACUUCGAUGGGUGACCGCUUGUCAAACUGAGAUGAUGUAAGCA